rfam:Vibrio mangrovi strain CECT 7927 genome assembly, contig: 0005
AAGAAAACCAUUCAAGGAUGAAUGGUUAGGCUUUUCCGGGCAGGAUGCCCGUAAAAGCCGGUUCU